CUGAUGCACUGCUUGAGCGAAAACCCUCAAAACUUCUCUUAAAACUCAUAUAAAUAUAUCACUUAAUUUUUAGACACCGCCAUUUUCGGACCCCCUGUCCAAUUUAGUUUGGCAUCACACCAACUGUUCUCAUUUUAAAUUUGAAACUGUCGCGUGUGUUUUUUUUUAUUUUCUUUUUAUUUAUUUUAUUUUGUAGCCAGUGUUUUUUAUCGUGCCUCUUUUUUGAAGCUGUCAUUCAAGGAAGCAGAUCCAGAUAUACAGGAUGUCACAAAACUGCAAAUCGUCGUACGCGACCGCGACCACACGGGAUGCGAAUAACAACACGCUGUAUCAUGGAGGGACUGGCCAGGGGUACGGGGGGAGGAGUUAUGCUCCCCCCAGUGUUGCCAGCAAUGGAAACUAUCAGCAAAUGACGGCGAAAGUGCUGUUCAGCGGCGUCACGACGAUCAAUGACCUCAAGAGGCAGGACAAGACGGAGCGGGAAGUGCGGCGGACACACUAGCGACAUCUAUACUCAGGAGCUGAAUAUGUGAUAAGAAAAUAUUGGAAGCUAAGGAGUGAUCUCGGAAGACAGAGUUUAUGUCCAUAAUAAAUAUUUUUAUAUACAUUUUGUAUUAGAAUUAAGAAAAGAUCCGGUUUUCUGUGUGACACUGAUUUUAUUUUGGAGCAUAAUCAUUAUUAAGUACAGCGCCAUCUAUUGCGCAAAAGAGAAAUAAAAUUAGUGUUAGAAAACUAUCGACUUAAUUUUAAUUUUAGAUAGUUUUUAAAAGAGAUUAUGUUAAAUUUAAAGAGUAUUUACAGAAGCCAUUAAAUUGAUGUUUCCUAAAAACCCGCCUCCUUGUAAAAUUUUAUCGAAAUUAAUAAAUGUUUAAUAUUUUUUUUAUAACUGUUAAUUCUUCUUUAUUAGUCACUAUUUAAGAUGGUGUAGGUACUACAUAAGGAAUUAUUUUAGUGAAAAAAUUGCGCAUUAAUAUCGAAUUUUCAAAAUCGAGAUCAUGUCAGUAGUCAAUGGAGGCUAUUAUGAAAAUAUCAGACAAUUUGAAGAGAAAUACAAAAUAAAUUUAAAUUAAGUUUAUCAUAGUCAACAACAACAAGAUUUUGUUGAUAACGUCACAACACUUAUCUGUGAUCUGUUGUUUUUUUAGAGAUUUUAUUAAUGUAUUAAUUAAUAUACUUAGAUUAUAUUUUUGUACUAACUGUUUUGGAACGUAUUAAAAUUUUCGUAAGCACGGACUUUG